GAAUUCAGGGGGUUGUGUAACAUUGAACAGGACUCUCUAUCUCUGGUCCGGCAGCCGUUGUUAAAAGCCAAAAAGAUCCGAACAUCUUGACAAAAUGGGUAGAUGUUUGUUUGGCAGGUUGUUUCAGUAUGGUAAUUUAUCUGAUACUUCUAUCCAGACUUUACUAUACACCUUGCACUGUAGUCUGUCUUGUUCUGCCUCUAGCCCCGCCCCCCUCCACCCACAAACGGUAUAUACAGUUGACGUACUUAUCACAUCACUUGAACAUACACAGCAUUAUACAGACAACACCGUGCCCAAUGACAUACCUGUUAUGUAAUGGGGAUGAGGUAAUAAUCUGGUAGUAGUAGACCCUGUUAGAUAAGGGGGAUGAGGUAAUAAUCUGGUAGUAGUAGACCCUGUUAGAUAAGGGGGAUGAGGUAAUAAUCUGGUAGUAGUAGACCCUGUUAGAUAAGGGGAUGAGGUAAUAAUCUGGUAGUAGUAGACCCUGUUAGAUAAGGGGAUGAGGUAAUAAUCUGGUAGUAGUAGACCCUGUUAGAUAAGGGGAUGAGGUAAUAAUCUGGUAGUAGUAGACCCUGUUAGAUAAGGGGAUGAGGUAAUAAUCUGGUCAGGUAGUAGUAGACCCUGUUAGAUAAGGGGAUGAGGUAAUAAUCUGGUAGUAGUAGACCCUGUUAGAUAAGGGGAUGAGGUAAUAAUCUGGUCAGGUAGACCCUGUUAGAUAAGGGGAUGAGGUAAUAAUCUGGUAGUAGUAGACCCUGUUAGAUAAGGGGAUGAGGUAAUAAUCUGGUAGUAGUAGACCCUGUUAGAUAAGGGGAUGAGGUAAUAAUCUGGUAGUAGUAGACCCUGUUAGAUAAGGGGAUGAGGUAAUAAUCUGGUAGUAGUAGAGCCUGUUAGAUAAGGGGAUGAGGUAAUAAUCUGGUCAGGUAGUAGUAGUGGUUAGCGGCAGGGUAGCCUAGUGGUUAGAGCGGUGGACUAGUAACCUGGAAGGUUGCAAGUUCAAACCCCUGAGCUGACAUGGUACAAAUCUGUCGUUCUGCCCCUGAACAAGCAGUUAACCCACUGAUCUUAGGCCGUCAUUGAAAAUAAGAAUUUGUUCUUAACUGACUUGCCUGGUUAAAUAAAGGUAAAAAAAUAAAUCUAUGGCUGACUACACACACUAAUUUCAUGACAUGACUCAAGCCGUAGAGAUACAAUACAAAUGUUCUAUUUAAUUCUGUCCACACGGCAUAAACUGCAUCAUAUACAGGCAACGGCCAUAAUUACAGACUCAUUAACUGAUCCUGCAUGGCUACAUU